GAAGCACCAUAGCUCAGUGGUAGAGCAACUGCUUUGCAUGCAGUCCCUAGUUCAAUCCCUGGAGUCUUCA